ACAAUCCCAUGUCUGGAUAAAACCUGACAUGGGUUAGUAAGUUGGAAUUUCAAGGUUUAAAUUAGCAACGAAAGAAGUUAUCAAUAGUGACAAAAUGGCUUCUUAUAUGGAGAGUUCGAUUCAUAGAGGAUCAGAAUCAUUCUUUGACUUUUCUUGCUUUACAUGUCAGGAAAAUGACAGAAACACUGAGGCUGAUUUUUACUGUGAGGAAUGUUCUCAAUUUUACUGUAGCAAAUGUGUUGAGCAUCAUAACUAUCUUUACAAGAAGCAUGCAAUUUUGGACAAGAAAAACAUCAGCCAGUGGCCUGAGACUGAUGUGUCUGAACAAGAGAUAUGUCAGGUGCACAAGAAGGAAAAGCUGACAGGAUUCUGUGAGGACCACAGUCAGCUGAUAUGUCAUGCCUGCCAUGUCCACAAUCAUCAGUUAUGCAGUCAUGUGGUUCUAAUAGCUGACAAGGUGAAAGACCUCCAUCAAAAUAGAGAUUUCGAACAGUUGUCAGCAACUCUUGAUACACAACACCAGCAGUUGAUAAAGAAGAAAGAUGACUUUGAGGAAAAUUUGAAGUCUCUUGAGAAAUCUUACAAGAAAAUUCUGGAAGAAAUCGAUGCUUUACGAAAGACUAUAAAUGACGCUUUGGAUCAACUGGAGAAAAAUACCAAGAAGGCUUUGGACACAUUGUUGGUCAAUGUGAAGACAUCUAUCAGAAAUGACAUUGAAAACUGCAAUAAGUCCAUAAAAAAUAUAUCAUGCUUACAAGAAAAUUUGCUGACAAGUAAAGACAAAAAAGAAGCACUGAGUUUUAUCAAGUACAGAAAAUGCCUUGACCAGUCCCUCAAGGUAGAAGCAUCUUUACAAGAUAUGACAGCAAAUAAUGAGAGGACAAUAACCUUUAAUCUUGAUAGAACCUUCCAACAUACCCUGUCCGCUCUAUCUGAAUUGGGACAAAUACUGAGCACAGUUAAACAAUCACAAGCCACUAAAAGGACAACACAGAACACAAAUACAAGACAGAUUACACCUAAAGCAUGCAGCCAGUCUGACCCCGGAAACCAAACAGCUUCAAGAUUAAAGGUAAACACAUCCAUUUCAGAAUCAAGUUCAUCUAGACACUAUAGCCCUGGAAAUCAAAACAGUCAUCUGCCCAAGUCAGGCCUGAUAUCUGAUCCUGUAUCAAGCUCAUUACACCAGCUGGUCCAGGGACAUCAACCAGGUGCAGUAAGCAAACCUGAUCAAAUCAUCAAAGUGAAGAGUAGUAAGAAGUACAGUGUGAAGAUUGAGGGUGAAAAAGGCAUAUGCUACAUAACUGGUAUCUGUGAGACAGCUUCUGGAGAACUCCUCAUCACAGACUGGCAAAACAAUAAAGUGAAGCUCCUAGAUCAGACCUACAAGGUGGUGGCCCACUGUGACUUGCCUGGUGGACAUUUGUCCAUGUGCAGCAUUGACUCCUGUCUGGUGGCUGUUACUGUGGAUUACAAGGAGGUCCACUUCAUCAGAGUAAUCAAUAGUAAGUUGAUAAAGGACAGGAUACUGAAGCUCAAACAUGAAUGCUGGGGUAUUGCCCAUCAGCAUGGUAACCUGUACAUAACAGAUGGUGAUGCUCUGUAUCAUUAUACUCUGGAUGGAAGACUGGUGAGCAAGAUGUAUAAGGAUGAAUCAGUGGCCUCCUGUGCAGUGAGUCAAGAUGGUGACAGGAUAUAUGUGACCAACGCGUACAGUAAGCAGCUGGUCACACUGUCCAGGGAUGGCACAGUGAUCUCCACCCUGACUGUACCUGACCUGAGCUUUAUAUAUAAACUAUCUGGCCUACAUGUGACAGAUUCAGGACAAGUUCUGAUUUGUGGAGACUAUGCAGGCAAAAUCUUCCAGGUUGACAGGGAUGGUAGACAGAUACUGGCAGAGGUGGUCACAGUGAAUAAUGGUGUGUCUCACCCUAUAUCUGUCUACUACAGUAAGCACACACGCUCAAUCAUUGUAGGAAUGUGGAAAAAUAAUGACAUUACAGUGUUUAAGGAACAGUGACUGUUGCAGAAGGAUGAUUUAUAAUCAUUCAUUAUAAUUUACACAUUCAUUUAUACAGUCCUCAUUUUAAAAUAGUUGAACUCUUAAUAAAUUGUAUAUGAGACCUGUUGCAAUAGGACAUAUUCAAUAUUCGCUGUGUAAAACCCUCACAUGUACAACUUUACCAUAAAACCAGUCUUUAUCAACCUGGUAUGAUAUUAUGAUAUAUAAACUGAAAUAUGCUCACAUAUAAUUUGAAAAAUAAAUAAAUAGUUAGUUUCAUCGAAACUAGAUUUUAAAGUGAUUGUACAAACAUUUCUGAACCAGUUUAUCAAUUGUUUUUUUUUUUGUUUUUUUUUUUGGGGGGGGGGGGCAAAUAACUUAUCUCAUUGUUAAUAAAUAUCAUCUAUUGAUAUCGUUCAUGAGGUGCAUGAUAUUUAUAUUUUUAUGAACAUUAUGUGUGAGUGUGUCAAGUAUUGUUCAAAAUUUAUAUGCAUGUGAGUAUAAUAUCUGACAACAAUUAUCAUUUUCCAAAUCACACAUCAAAGCAAAACAUAUGAAACUCCGCCACAAGUAAUGUCAAAAUAAAAGGAUUUGCAAUCAAAUAAUAGUCUGAUCCAAAAGUCCCUUAAUCAACAUAAAAAAAUCAGCAACGUUACAUUCUCAAUUAACCCCAUGCCAGCAGAGAUUAUUGACCAAACCUUUCUAACAAUCCUCGGUAAAAACACGAGAUAAACAUAAGUGAAAGCUUUGUGCAUUAAAAUUACUCUCUUUAGAGACAGGGCAGAAUUUCCUGAACUUCCAAGGUCCUCUCAAUGUCCUGCUUGAAAUAGCCCCCCUCCCCCCUGCAUUUACAGUUCAGUUUCAAGACCUAGUUUUCCAACCAUACAAGCUUUAUCACAUAUUAUAGUCCCAAUAUGCCACAGUCCAGGUUCAAAAUUAACAUCCACAAGAGCAAUAACAGUGAAAAUAUGAAAACAGGAGUUAUGUUUGAAACAAUUCAUGUGUACGUCUUAGUUUUCGAGUUAUGGCUCCAGAAAAAUUAUAAACACAAAAACGGCAUGAUGUAAUAGAAUGUCUUAUUUAAAAAAGGGGCAUAACAUUUGUAAUUUUUAAUGUAUGAUGAUAACUAGAAUACCAUGAUGACCUCUAGGUGCUCACAGACUUCACGUGAGCUAUUUUUUUACCAAAUUUGAACCAGAUUUAAACAUGGUCUAUAUAUUGUCACAAUGCAUGACCUUUUUGACUUUAUUAGUUUGUUUAGAUGUGUGUUUAUAAUCAGAUAGUUUGUGUGCAGUUUAAUAAUUUAAGGACAACUAUACCUUAUUAUCAGAAACUUUUUGAUUCCUUCAUGUAAAUAUGCAGAUUAAAAAAUAGUGUUUGUCAAUCAUUUUGUUGUAAUCUUAUAUUAUAGUCUUGCAAUUCACAGUUUGUAGGAUUAAUAUUAAUUAAUCAUCCUUUUGUUAUACCCAUGUUUUGAUGUGUGCAUAAUGCCUUUCAACGUUUAUUGAAACUGUUUAUAAAAAAUUAAAAAAGAAGUAACAAGAUGUCAACAAAAAGACUCAUAUAUUAGAUAUACAUAGUUUGAACAUUAGGCAGAUAGAAACUUGUGGAAAUCAGUUACUGAACACUUUUGCAACACUAGGAACUUGUGUAAUUAUGUGUAUAUUUUGUAAUUAAAAUCAUAAUAUUGAAAGUAAA